CCCCUGCGCGCCGCCGCCGCCGCAGCCCCUCCGUCCUCCCCAGCUCUAUGCGGCGGGGCCGGCGGAGCCGCAGGCCGCGCUCCCACACACAGGCUGACCUCGGCCUGCUGAGCCUGCUGCGCUGAUUGCACAGCGUUUUUGGGACACAUCUCUGUUGGAUUUUAAUAUAUGUCGUGCUAACAACAGCUUUCAACUAUGGAAUCGACAUGAAUGACUUCAAAGCCUCCAUGGAAGCACUGGCGCAUGGCAAGUGAGACUUCAAGAUGACCCAGAAAUAAUGGAUGAAUGAAAGGGCUGACGUAGAGCCCAUCGUGUUUGCACAGCAGGUACAGGAGCACUGGGCUCAUCUUGACACCCUUACAGCAGAGCAGUCCCCAUUCCUGAUGUCAUUUGGGGACCCUGCUCCCUUCUGUUUUUCCCUCCUUCCCUAUUUCCAGUUCCCAGCUGCUAAAGAGUGGCCAAACUUAUGUCCUUAGGUUUUAAAG